UCGGUUCAGUUUUCUCUUAGUGAUCAGUUUGAUUCGAUUUUCAAAAUUCUUAAUUUUUAUUUUUGAUUUUAUCGGUUUGAUUUGGUUCAAAACCGAACCCACCAUUUGCACUAAGUAAAAAAAUUGAGAGAAACAAAACUGAUAAUCCUAGACCAAAAAUCAUGAUCAAAACAGUAGGGUCCAAGAAAACUAAUGCAAACAGAACCGAAACCAGAACAGAACAAAAUGAAAUACAGCUGCAAAAAACACAUAAAAACCUCGUGAGGA
rnacentral:misc_RNA from 1 species